rnacentral:lncRNA from 1 species
UGCUGACCUAACAUGCACUAAUCAAAUUAGUAACUGAUUUUGUGAGGUCCUAGUUCAUAAGGGAUUUAAACCUUUCUCUUGGGAUGUUGAUGAAGUGACCAUGCAGACCAGAAUAACAAAAUGUCAUUCCUAUGAAGAGAUGUAGCAUAAGAGUGCUAUGGAACACCAGGUACAGAAGCCAAGGAGCAUUUUAGAAGCCUUCCACUGAUAGCAGAGAUGGAACCAUUUUACAGACAUUGCUCUGACUGAGAAAUUGUUAGUACAAUGCUCUGAGUUCUUCCUCAUUGAGGAGUAUCGGCUGGAUCGUCUCAUGAAUCAGGUGGACUUAUGUUGGAGGGUGACAUGGAGUAGGUUUGGGGGAAGGUUAGUAUAGUUCAUAUCACUUAUAGCCUGGAAGCAGUUUCAAUGACGAGGAACUAAUUUUUCACUU